UCUGGUGCCGAUGCGCUUAGGGGAAACACCCGUACCCAUCCCGAACACGAUGGUUAAGACCUAAGCGGCCGAUGGUACUAUGCUGGAGACGGCAUGGGAGAGCAGGUGGCUGCCGGAU
rnacentral:rRNA from 1 species